rnacentral:lncRNA from 1 species
AAUUAACACUAUUUUUACAAAAACCUAUUUUUUUCCUAAUUACCCUAAACUACCUUGAUUCUAGAAAAUUAAAAGCUAAACUAUCCUAAAAGAAGAAUAUUGACACACAAAAAUGGGAAAAAUAGAGUUAACACACCCCACACUUAAGGAACUACCAUCCUGGGCAGGGAAAACUAAAAUCAAAACAAAGAUCAAAGACUCAAUUUACAAAAUGAAAGACCCCCAACAAAACUCAGAAAUAGUGGUUUAUUCACAACUCAAUCCAUCCUGCCAAUUUCGUCAUUUCACAACCAUUUCUUCAAACAAAAUUGCACAAUCAUAUUUCUCAACAUUAAAUCUCAGUAUCAGCAAUCCAAGCAUUUAAACAACAACUAGAUUCAACCAAUUUCAGCAAGGAACAUAAGCUGAAAAGCAGGAAUCAAUUUCAACCUCACAUGAACAAGUGUUUGCACUCAUUUUCACUCAAGUAUUUAGGGUGUCCUGUUUCACUCACUCAUGACAUGUCAACCUCUAUUCUUAACUUUGAAAAGACUCUAAGUGAAAGUGCUCAGCUCAUGGUUUCAUCUAGAUCAAUAGGUCUUUAGUGGCUUGUGAUGUACAUGGUAUGAAAAGGUUAGAAAACACAAGGGUAAUGGAUGUAGAAACUAUGAAUAACAAGGGAGAACCUAGAACUCAGUGCACUCUAUGUUUAACUUUGGCCAGUCAAAACUUUUCUUUCUUUCUCUCUUGUUUUCAAUUCUGCCAGGUCUUAUUUUCAAUUCUUUUGCAUUUUUCUCUUUUUCAGACCUGCUCUUUUCUUUUUUUUAUUAUCACAACCAAAAUUACGCACUCAUUUUUUUUUACUCUUUCACCCCCUAGCCUUAUUUUUCAAUUGCACUCACCAAGUUUCAGCUCCCCCUAAUUCUCACAAGUCUCUACAGGUUGGGUAUGUAAUGGAAAGGGGCUUGUAAUGAAUGGAAAUAAAGAAAAAUAGGCUAAGGCUCAAAAAGAAAGGUACAAUAGAUAAAACUGAAAUGGUUAAGCUAAGUGGCUUUGGAUGAAGAAAAAGAAUGCCUAAAUCAUGUCUAAAUUCUACCAACAGCAAGCUUAUCACAGAAAGUCAAUGCAAAAUCAGUAUUAAAAGCCAAACAUGCAUGAAAUCACGUAAGAAAGACAAAAAUUGGGCCCAACAUCUCUCUAGGUUAAGAAAUGCUAAAACUGACUUGCU